ACAGUUUUCAGCCACUUUGGAGGCCAUGGCCGCGAGGCUAAGAGGGGAGUCCUCUCACCUUUCGCCAGACUCCGAUUGCGGCGGAGUUAGCGGAGGCGCGAUCGCCAGGUGUACGGGCGUACGAGGGCUAUGCGUGGCACAGUGCAGGCGUGGUCGGAGGCUCGUGCGUGAGGAGCGGCUUGGCUGCGGCGCUAUAAUCCUCUAGGGUUCCUUGCUGCUAAUUUUUUUGGGCUAUCGGGUAUUUGGGCUGAUGGUUAGGGCCUGAUUUGGGUAUUAGUUUUAAUCUACUUGGUUUGUAACUGGACAUUCAAUUAAUUUUUGUUUUUAUUUCUCUGUGA